rfam:Listeria monocytogenes EGD-e, complete genome
CGUUACCACAGGGGGGGCUUCUUAGCUGAGAUUGAGUCCACGUGUUUUUGGAUUCUGACCCUUUGAACCUGUUCGUUAAUACGAGCGUAGGGAUUGUGGCGAUUGCAUUUC